rnacentral:rRNA from 1 species
GAUGAACGCUAGCUACAGGCUUAACACAUGCAAGUCGAGGGGAAACGCCAUCGAAAGCUUGCUUUUGAUGGGCGUCGACCGGCGCACGGGUGAGUAGCGCGUAUCCAACCUGCCCAUCACUUGGGGAUAACCUUGCGAAAGUAAGACUAAUACCCAAUGAUAUCUCUAGAAGACAUCUGAAAGAGAUUAAAGAUUUAUCGGUGAUGGAUGGGGAUGCGUCUGAUUAGCUUGUUGGCGGGGUAACGGCCCACCAAGGCAACGAUCAGUAGGGGUUCUGAGAGGAAGGUCCCCCACAUUGGAACUGAGACACGGUCCAAACUCCUACGGGAGGCAGCAGUGAGGAAUAUUGGUCAAUGGGCGAGAGCCUGAACCAGCCAAGUAGCGUGCAGGAAGACGGCCCUAUGGGUUGUAAACUGCUUUUAUAAGGGAAUAAAGUGAGAGUCGUGACUCUUUUUGUAUGUACCUUAUGAAUAAGGACCGGCUAAUUCCGUG